rnacentral:misc_RNA from 1 species
AAGUCGUAACAAGGUUUCCGUAGGUGAACCUGCGGAAGGAUCAUUAACAAAUCCUGGAUUGUUGUGCAGGGUGUUUCAUUCGAACAGGGAUCCAUUCCUGCUCGUUUGAUUUGUGCACUCUUCACACAAUACACACGUUCCAUGUGCAUUCAUUUGUGCAUGAUAACAUUUCUACGAAUCAUCUGAUGGUCGCAUAUCUAAUUUAUAAAGACUUUUAACAAUGGAUCUCUAGGCUCUU